UCCGUAGGCGGUUUAAUAAGUCAGUGGUGAAAUCUGGUCGCUCAACGAUCAAACUGCCAUUGAUACUGUUAGACUUGAAUAAUUGUGAAGUAACUAGAAUAUGUAGUGUAGCGGUGAAAUGCUUAGAUAUUACAUGGAAUACCAAUUGCGAAGGCAGGUUACUAACAAUUGAUUGACGCUCAGGUGCGAAAGCGUGGGGAGCAAACAGGAUUAGAUACCCUGGUA
rnacentral:rRNA from 1 species